UCCGAGUUGACCCCGGCAGUCUCCCAUGAGUCCCCACCACUACGUGCUGGCAACAUGGAACGAGGGUUGCGCUCGUUGCGGGACUUAACCCAACAUCUCACGACACGAGCUGACGACAACCAUGCACCACCUGUACACCGCCCUUGCGGACCCCGUGUCUCCACGAGUUUUCGGUGUAUGUCAAGCCCAGGUAAGGUUCUUCGCGUUGCUUCGAAUUAAACCACAUGCUCCACCGCUUGUGCGGGCCCCCGUCAAUUCUUUUGAGUUUCAGCCUUGCGGCCGUACUCCCCAGGCGGGGCACUUAAUGCGUUAGCUUCGACACCGAAGGGGUCGUUCCCACCGGCAUCUAGUGCCCAUCGUUUACGGCGUGGACUAC
rnacentral:misc_RNA from 1 species